UACGUAGGGUGCAAGCGUUAAUCGGAAUUACUGGGCGUAAAGGGUUUGUAGGUGGCCACUUAAGUCAGACGUGAAAUCCCUCAGCUUAACUGGGGAACUGCGUCUGAUACUGCGUGGCUUGAGUGCAGGAGAGGAACGCGGAAUUCCAGGUGUAGCGGUGAAAUGCGUAGAUAUCGUUUGGAACGCCAAUGGUGAAAACAGGUUGCUGGGAGUGUGCUGACGCUGAGACACGAAAGCCAGGGGAGCAAACGGG
rnacentral:rRNA from 1 species